rnacentral:rRNA from 1 species
AUUGAACGCUGGCGGCAGGCCUAACACAUGCAAGUCGAGCGAUCGGCGGACGGGUGCGUAAUAUAUGGGGAUCUGCCCGAUAGAUGGGGAUAACUCCUGGAAACGGUGGCUAAUACCGCCUAAUAUCGGCUGAACCCAUAUGGGAUUAGCUAGUAGUGGGGGUAAAGGCUAACCUCGGCGACGAUCUCUAGCUGGUCUGAGAGGAUGAUCAGCCACACUGGGACUGAGACACGGCCCAGACUCCUACGGGAGGCAGCAGUGGGGAAUAUGGCACAAUGGGCGCAAGCCUGAUGCAGCCAUGCCGCGUGUAUGAAGAAGGCCUUAGGGUUGUAAAGUACUUUCAGCGGGGAGGCGUUACCCGCAGAAGAAGCACCGGCUAACUCCGUGCCAGCCGCCGCGGUAAUUC